rnacentral:piRNA from 1 species
UCUUGGGACCAAAACUGCCUACCCACCC